AUGGUUCAGCUGUGGAGUACAUGCCUUGCAUGCAUGAAGCCCUGGGUUCAAUUCUCAGU
rnacentral:tRNA from 1 species